CUGGCGGCGUGCCUAAUACAUGCAAGUCGAGCGAACGGACGAGAAGCUUGCUUCUCUGAUGUUAGCGGCGGACGGGUGAGUAACACGUGGAUAACCUACCUAUAAGACUGGGAUAACUUCGGGAAACCGGAGCUAAUACCGGAUAAUAUUUUGAACCGCAUGGUUCAAAAGUGAAAGACGGUCUUGCUGUCACUUAUAGAUGGAUCCGCGCUGCAUUAGCUAGUUGGUAAGGUAACGGCUUACCAAGGCAACGAUGCAUAGCCGACCUGAGAGGGUGAUCGGCCACACUGGAACUGAGACACGGUCCAGACUCCUACGGGAGGCAGCAGUAGGGAAUCUUCCGCAAUGGGCGAAAGCCUGACGGAGCAACGCCGCGUGAGUGAUGAAGGUCUUCGGAUCGUAAAACUCUGUUAUUAGGGAAGAACAUAUGUGUAAGUAACUGUGCACAUCUUGACGGUACCUAAUCAGAAAGCCACGGCUAACUACGUGCCAGCAGCCGCGGUAAUACGUAGGUGGCAAGCGUUAUCCGGAAUUAUUGGGCGUAAAGCGCGCGUAGGCGGUUUUUUAAGUCUGAUGUGAAAGCCCACGGCUCAACCGUGGAGGGUCAUUGGAAACUGGAAAACUUGAGUGCAGAAGAGGAAAGUGGAAUUCCAUGUGUAGCGGUGAAAUGCGCAGAGAUAUGGAGGAACACCAGUGGCGAAGGCGACUUUCUGGUCUGUAACUGACGCUGAUGUGCGAAAGC
rnacentral:rRNA from 1 species